CGAAUUGCCCUUGGGGGUGCCGCCGCUCGAUUUCUUUUUCAUGCUUGAAACCGUGAUUAGGGGGAGUCUAGUGUCACGAUAUUAUUAUGGCUGUCACGAUGCCUAAAACGCUGUUGCAAUACCAUAGGGCACGGGUCAAUACCGGUGUCGACCUACCCCGGUAUCUCAUCCGGUUCGAGUGCUCUACCUUUAUUAUUGUUGUCUAAAGGGUCCGUACUGCGGAGAGAUCAUUCUCUUCGGGAAAUCCCUUUGCUCAUUACUAGAUUUUUUCCCAUAAUCUGAUUUAGCUCUAAACUCUCAGAGGUGUAGAGGUACUUCAGGUCUACGGAUGAACUCUUGUAUUCCCUGACAGAUUUCCCGUGACAAUUGCCUCUCCCCAUACCGACUCUUACGACCAGGUACUAACGCUUACGGCUCGAACCGCAUUAGAUACCCGGGUAGUCGGAACCGUACUCGAUCCUCCCUAGCUAUCAAAUGCUUUUUAACCGUGUCUAGUGCCAUAUGUAAACCCUGAAACUAGCCAUCUGCUAAUUACCGUCGCCAGGCUUAUACUUAUAUCAAUUGUGCGGCGACCCC
rnacentral:rRNA from 1 species